GACGAACGCCGGCGGCGUGCCUAAUACAUGCAAGUCGAGCGGAUGGAUGGGAGCUUGCUCCCGGAAGUCAGCGGCGGACGGGUGAGUAACACGUGGGCAACCUGCCCUUGAGAUCGGGAUAACUUCGGGAAACCGGAGCUAAUACCGGAUAGGUUCUUCCCUCACAUGAGGGACGAGGGAAAGACGGUUUCGGCUGUCACUCAAGGAUGGGCCCGCGGCGCAUUAGCUGGGUGGUGGGGUAACGGCUCACCAAGGCGACGAUGCGUAGCCGACCUGAGAGGGUGAUCGGCCACACUGGGACUGAGACACGGCCCAGACUCCUACGGGAGGCAGAAGUAGGGAAUCUUCCGCAAUGGACGAAAGUCCGACGGAGCAACGCCGCGUGAGUGAAGAAGGUUUUCGGAUCGUAAAACUCUGUUGUCAGGGAAGAACAAGUACCAUAGUAACUGAUGGUACCUUGACGGUACCUGACCAGAAAGCCACGGCUAACUACGUGCCAGCCGCCGCCGUAAUAC
rnacentral:rRNA from 1 species